CGACUUUCACCCCUAGCCUCGACUCAAACUUUUCUAUGACUCAUUGUGUCUGAGGGAUACCAAACCAAUUAAAUUACAAAAUAAGCAAUAUAAUACAAAGGAGUCAAAUAAUUAAAUUCAAAAUAUAAAGACAAUCAAGAAAAAGAAAACAUGGCAUUGAAAAAAUUAAAAAAUAUAUAUAGAUUAUGAGAGACAUACAUAAUUAAUUCUCGAGGUUUAAAAAAUAUAGAAAUUAUAUUUUUUCUUUUG
rnacentral:lncRNA from 1 species